rnacentral:rRNA from 1 species
UACGAAGGGGGCUAGCGUUGCUCGGAUUUACUGGGCGUAAAGGGCGCGUAGGCGGACGAUCAAGUUGGGGGUGAAAUCCCGGGGCUUAACCUCGGAACUGCCUCCAAAACUGAUAGUCUAGAGUUUGGGAGAGGUGUGUGGAACUCCGAGUGUAGAGGUGAAAUUCGUAGAUAUUCGGAAGAACACCAGUGGCGAAGGCGACACACUGGCCCAAUACUGACGCUGAGGCGCGAAAGCGUGGGGAGCAAACAGG